rnacentral:lncRNA from 1 species
CCCGGAGAUUUACUUUCCACAGAAAGCACCUUACAACAAGGAUCACUGCUAAGCAGAAAGGGCAAACAACAGUGUCCUCAGGGCUGGAGCAAUGCAGCAGUCAGAGCUGACUGAUACCAAAACAAACAAAAUCCAGGCUGUCUUGAACACAUCAGACCCAGAGAUCCCCGAGAGACUCUUGUCACAUUACAGCUCCUUCCCUUUCUUGAAGCUAAGACUACUGCUUCUAUUCGGGCUUGAAAAACCUGCUCACCUACUCACCAGCGUUCCAGGUCUCCGAGGGAAGUACCCUACAAGCAAAGAGCAGUGAGUUAGCUCUGCCGCUGGUGAAGGAGCAGCACAGAGUGGGAGAGAGACUGGAAUCCUUUCCUAGCGGCCGACUGAAACUGGACACAUGCCUUUAUGUGACCACGCACCAAAACACACCUUGGCUCUGCUCGACUUCACCAGCGCUGCAGCCAGCACAGAACGCUUCAUGUUUCCCCACGCAGCGCAGGGCAACUGCAGCCGCAUCGCACCUUGCGCCUCACGCCCAGCCUCCAGCCCACACAGCGCUGCACCCCGUACUGCACCUUCGCAUGACAAAAUGCACCUUGAAGGCUGCCUGCCCAGCACCCUCCAUCGCUAUCUCCCAGGAACGUCAGUGCUACCACUGCAAAUGCCACCCUAGUAUGCUGGCAGGAGAAACGCGUGCACUUUCCUCCUUUAGUCUGAAAGCAAUCCCUCUGAAAUCUGAAUUUUCAGUCAAGGCCGUUUUUGCUCCCCAUGCUUGCACUUCUCCGAGCUUCUUGUCCUUGGCUGCAGCAUGUCUUACUGCUUCAGUGUGGAAUGACCCUUGAAAUCAAGUGAAAUGCUUUCAGCAGGCAACAUUUCCCUCUCUGCAUAUCUUUG